ACCUACUGUUUAAUUUUGAGGGUUCGUUUUUACGAAUACUCAAAAUUAGCACUUUAAGCAACGGGAUUUAUCCGUUGGCGCCGUGCUUUAGCACUUUGAAAUCUGCAUAUAUAUUUAGUGAUAUGACAUCUAAUUUGUAAUAUAUAAAGCUGAUAACUUUUAAAAAUUAUCAAGUUGAUAGACUUUAAUCUAUCAAACCUUUUUAACUGGUCAAGUUAUUAAGGGUGCAGGGCGGAUGCCUUGGCACUACGACGUGCGUUAGCACUUUGAAAACUGCAUAUAUAUUUAGUGAUAUGACAUCUAAUUUGUAAUAUAUAAAGUUGAUAACUUUUUAAAAUUAUCGAAGUUGAUAGCUUCUAAUCUAUCAAACCUUUUUAACUGGUCAA
rnacentral:misc_RNA from 1 species